GCGGCGGCCACGUAGCUGCCGGCGAGCUCGCCAGUUGCCUCCGCCGCCGCCUUGGAAUCUGGGGCCCCGACGGCCGGCGAGACCCCGCCUCCGCCCGACCCCGGGGAGGCCGCGCGGCUGCUGCGCCUGCCCCAGCCGCCGCACCUGGGAGCGGUGAUCACCAGGAGAGGUGGGGCGUGGCAAGAGGCUGGCCGGGCGCCGGAGCAGCUUCGCCAAAAGCCAGCCGGACCGGCGCAAGGCGGAGGGGGAGGGUCUCGGGGCAGAGGCCGGCUCCUCCGAGGGAGAGACCCCAGCUGGGGUGGAAAAGGGCACAAAGCAGCUGCACAGACGCUGGGCGCGGAUCAUGGAGCGGGCCAGCCCCGGCUCCGGGGAGUCGAAGCUGCAGCGGGACCAGGAUUCCGUGGAAGCGUGGCUGGAUGAUCACUGGGACUUUACCUUCUCUUACUUUGUUAGGAAAGCCACCAGGCCGGUCUAGUAGACCACAACUACACAGGCCCAGCCGGGACCCUGCGGAGCUUGACCACCCAGAACUGGGCGACCACGCCUACCCCCUGCGCCUGCGGACAGGCCAGCUCCGAAAAGCGCCCAGAGGACCUGCAGGCCCCGCCCCACGGGGCGGGGCCUAGAGGCUCAUCGCGCCUGCGCCGAGGCCCGAGCGCGUGUUGCGCCGUUACUUUUGAAACGAGUGGCGGGGAACUGCUGUGGGCGUCUCUGCUGUCGCUCUCUGCCGGGGGAAGCGCACUCCUUCGUCUGUAGGACUGGCCAUGGCGCUGCAGCUCUCCCGGGAGCAAGGCAUCACCCUGCGCGGGAGCGCCGAAAUCGUGGCCGAGUUCUUCUGCUCUUGGACUUUCUUCGCUGUUCACCAGAAACUGUAAAUCUGACAUUUGCAAAGUGUUAACCUACUCUAAAGGGUGAAUUUGGAACUUUAAAAAGGAAAGCAGUGGCCUUUCUACUGCUUCAGUGAUGUCAGCACCAACAAAGGUAGCAGCCCCGGCAUCCUCACCAGCUAAGGCAAAACCAUCUAUUUGGACUUACGUCUUCGGACCUGUUAAAUUUAUGUAGAACUGAACUCAUCCUAUCCCCACAUUCCCAAGAUUUUUAAAACAAACAAACAAGCAAAGUCCUUGCUUCUCGGAGGUUAUAAGUAAAUCUAAGGGAAAUGGUGUUUUCUGUUGGGGUUGUUUGUUUGUUUGUUUGUUUUGAGAAAACAUUGUCAUCUUAUUUCAAGUUAUAGACUGACUUCUAGAAAUGAGAUUCAAAUUUUUUGAGGCUAUAAACACCGAGCCAAGCAAUACUCUUGAAGUAAACAUCCUAGAAGUCAGACUAGUAUGAUACAUAUGAUUAAGGCAUUGCUGUGCUCACUUUUGCAAGUUUAUACUUAAACCAGAGAAAAUCAGCUACAAGAUGAAUCUAAACAAAUAGUAUGCCGGAAUAUAUUAUGUACACUGAAAUUUUAGUUUUUUAGCGUUCAUAGCGGUAAUGACUCAGAUCAGCUUUGAUAUUUUUUUUUUCAAACUUACCAAAUAUCCCAGAAAGUAAAAACACAGAAAUAGCAAAAUAUUUUUUAGAAUUUAAAUGUAAAAUGUUUUUAAAUGCUAAAUUCUGAUCUGUUUGCCACUGGGAAAAUCACAUACUUUGCAACUAGAUUCUGAGAAAGGGGGAUUAGGAAAAAAAGUAAAGAGCGAACGAUAUGUUUUACUAGACAUUUUCUUCAUGUAUGUUUAUUACUUCUUUAAGAAACAUAAGUUUUAUCAAUCUUUAGUUAAAAGCAUGAAAGAAAAGCAAUCUAAAAUGGGUCAACUGAAAAAAUAUAUAUAACAACGAAACGCUAAAAAUGAAAUUACAUUAGCAUGUACCUGUAUUUCAAAUAGGAAAGUAGAUUUAGCUUGAGAUGAUAUUCAAAAUCUGUAAGUGCUGGGCACAGACACCAAUCAAUGAGAAUGGCACUGCUCUCAAUGGCCGGAACAACCAUAUAUAUUAUCAACUGGAUACCAAGCCAGCAAGUCAGCCUGUGAUGUGCUCCACCAAUUGCUCAACAUCCCAAUAUAUGGGAGAAAUAAAUGCAAGAUGUCUACUA